CAAGGCGUUAGUUCGGGUUGAUGCAGAUGAAGUUAAUCAUGGCUCUUCUGACACCGCCUUCACUCUAUCCUACUCCUUUUCCAACUUCGUCAUUGGGAAGCGUUAAUCCCCACGGGAAGGAAAAGCAAUUCUAAUUCCCACCGACAAUAGGUGCAUUCCCCACCCAUGUUUAGCUUUUCCGUUGUUGCGUGUUGCUAUGUGGUCCUUAGAAAGGAGGAGACGACAUACACUAUACAAGGUAUAAAAUCAAUCAUCCCAUUUGCCUUGCCAACUGCUUCUCUUUUCCCCUUAAAAUCGAUUGGCUUCCAUUUAUUUUGACCAAGAUAUUAACAAGGUAUAAAAUUUGAAAUUGAUUAAUCUUCUUUUAUUCUGCCAUCGAUUGCUUCAUCAAUACCGAUUCAUGUUUGUAGAGUUACUUCAGAUAAGGUGAUGCUUGAAGGGAAUAUGGGCGUCUGUUCAACGUACCUGAGUCACCUCCAUCGUACCUCAAGAAUACAAUUCAACUAUACCCACCCAGUUAGUUUUGAGGAAAAUGCAAGCUGACCUAUGUGACAAAGAAUAUUCAAUUGAUGAUGAAUGACUUACUUCCCCAUGUUAUUUGGUUCGAGACAGGUAACUUUGACUGCUUUAUAUCCUGAUAUCUUGCUUAUUACUUACUGAGAGGACUAAUACUAGGAAGAAAUACUUUAAAAAACUUGGUUUUUUGUAAUGCAUAUACCUGAUUGCAAAGAUGCUAAGGAAGUAAUUCAUGGGUUUUUUGUAAUGCAUAUACCUGAUUGCAAAGAUGCUAAGGAAGUAAUUCAUGGGAACAACUCUUAAAAAUGGGGAAACAGGUAUGGGAUCCAAUCCCAUUUUCAUCUUUUUGAAUUGGGGGCAUUUAUUACUUUUUUCUCCAAAAAUGGCUAGUAUAAUCUACCAUUUAUGUAUUUUUUGCUUAUGCUUAUUCAACUCAUUUCUUUUAUUUAUAUAUUAUAGCUCUAUAUUAUCUAGAUGUAAGUAUAUCUAAUAUGACCAUUGACAGAUGUGAUAAGUUUUGAUGAUAAGUUAUUUCUAGGAACAAGUUAUUCAGGCAUUGAAAGAACACGAUCCAUUCUUGAUCGGUUUAGAAAAGCUUUGUUAGAGGUGAUUAAGGAGGUAUUACAAAGGAGCUAGCAGAGGUUGACGAAAUAUUUGCAGCUGAAGUUAUGAUUUUAAAGGGGUUUAGUGGAAAUUUGGAUCUGAAGUCUGUGGUUCGUUUAAUUCUUCUAAAUGGUUGUCUUUUCUUAUUUAUUAUUCGGUUUAUUUUACAUUUUACUAUUUAGUUCUUUUUUUAUUUUAUUAUUAUUAUUAUUAUUUUUUGCUAUUAAGGUCUGUCAUUUUUUGAAACAAAGUCACCAUAUUCGAAUGAAGAAAAUAGUACAAAAUUGGUGAA